rnacentral:rRNA from 1 species
UACGUAGGGUGCGAGCGUUAAUCGGAAUUACUGGGCGUAAAGCGUGCGCAGGCGGUUAUGUAAGACAGAUGUGAAAUGCCCGGGCUUAACCUGGGAACUGCAUUUGUGACUGCAUGGCUAGAGUUUGGCAGAGGGGAGUAGAAUUCCACGUGUAGCAGUGAAAUGCGUAGAUAUGUGGAGGAACACCGAUGGCGAAGGCAGCCCCCUGGGUCAAGACUGACGCUCAUGCACGAAAGCGUGGGGAGCAAACAGG